rnacentral:rRNA from 1 species
AAAUUGAAGAGUUUGAUCAUGGCUCAGAUUGAACGCUGGCGGCAGGCCUAACACAUGCAAGUCGAACGGUAGCACAGAGAGCUUGCUCUCGGGUGACGAGUGGCGGACGGGUGAGUAAUGUCUGGGAAACUGCCUGAUGGAGGGGGAUAACUACUGGAAACGGUAGCUAAUACCGCAUAACGUCGCAAGACCAAAGAGGGGGACCUUCGGGCCUCUUGCCAUCAGAUGUGCCCAGAUGGGAUUAGCUAGUAGGUGGGGUAACGGCUCACCUAGGCGACGAUCCCUAGCUGGUCUGAGAGGAUGACCAGCCACACUGGAACUGAGACACGGUCCAGACUCCUACGGGAGGCAGCAGUGGGGAAUAUUGCACAAUGGGCGCAAGCCUGAUGCAGCCAUGCCGCGUGUAUGAAGAAGGCCUUCGGGUUGUAAAGUACUUUCAGCGGGGAGGAAGGGAGU